GUGACUUCACAGUUCUUCCCUUUCAGGUGAAAUGUACAUCCUGCCCCAUUAACUUUGGAUUUGACUAUGUGGCUUGCUUUUGGUCAGUGGAAGCAGCAGGAUGCUGGUUCCCAACUCAGGCUUUAAGAAGCCUAAUAUGUCUCUUCUUGUUCCUUUUUGCUUCUGCCAUUUUCAUGACACCAUGGCUUGUCCACUGGUCCAAAGAGAAUAAAAUAGACAUGGGGAAGAACUGGAUCCAACCUGCUGCUUAGAGACACGCAACUGAGUCCAACCUAGAUCACAUAAAAUCCAGCCACCCUGCAGAUGUUUUCUCUUGGAAACUGGAUCUAACUCCCAUGAAAAAGCCCAUGCUAACCUGCUAAAGAAUGAGACCAUAUGGAAGAGAAAUGAGUUGUUUAACUGGGGCUGUUCUAGACUAUCCAGCCCACAGAAAACCCGUCAGCUGACUGUAGAUGCAGGAGCAAACCAAGCCAAGAUAAGUCAAUCCCAGCAAAGAUCAGAAGGAUAUCCUAAGUGGCCAAUAAACUUUUGACCAAAAUAAAUACUUUUUUUCCU
rnacentral:lncRNA from 1 species